AAAUUGAAGAGUUUGAUCAUGGCUCAGAUUGAACGCUGGCGGCAGGCCUAACACAUGCAAGUCGAACGGUAACAGGAAGCAGCUUGCUGCUUCGCUGACGAGUGGCGGACGGGUGAGUAAUGUCUGGGAAACUGCCUGAUGGAGGGGGAUAACUACUGGAAACGGUGGCUAUA
rnacentral:rRNA from 1 species